rnacentral:rRNA from 1 species
CGAGGAACGCUGGCGGCGUGCCUAAUACAUGCAAGUCGAGCGGACAGAUGGGAGCUUGCUCCCUGAUGUUAGCGGCGGACGGGUGAGUAACACGUGGGUAACCUGCCUGUAAGACUGGGAUAACUCCGGGAAACCGGGGCUAAUACCGGAUGGUUGUUUGAACCGCAUGGUUCAAACAUAAAAGGUGGCUUCGGCUACCACUUACAGAUGGACCCGCGGCGCAUUAGCUAGUUGGUGAGGUAAUGGCUCACCAAGGCAACGAUGCGUAGCCGACCUGAGAGGGUGAUCGGCCACACUGGGACUGAGACACGGCCCAGACUCCUACGGGAGGCAGCAGUAGGGAAUCUUCCGCAAUGGACGAAAGUCUGACGGAGCAACGCCGCGUGAGUGAUGAAGGUUUUCGGAUCGUAAAGCUCUGUUGUUAGGGAAGAACAAGUACCGUUCGAAUAGGGCGGUACCUUGACGGUACCUAACCAGAAAGCCACGGCUAACUACGUGCCAGCAGCCGCGGUAAUACGUAGGUGGCAAGCGUUGUCCGGAAUUAUUGGGCGUAAAGGGCUCGCAGGCGGUUUCUUAAGUCUGAUGUGAAAGCCCCCGGCUCAACCGGGGAGGGUCAUUGGAAACUGGGGAACUUGAGUGCAGAAGAGGAGAGUGGAAUUCCACGUGUAGCGGUGAAAUGCGUAGAGAUGUGGAGGAACACCAGUGGCGAAGGCGACUCUCUGGUCUGUAACUGACGCUGAGGAGCGAAAGCGUGGGGAGCGAACAGGAUUAGAUACCCUGGUAGUCCACGCCGUAAACGAUGAGUGCUAAGUGUUAGGGGGUUUCCGCCCCUUAGUGCUG